GGGGGUGUGGCUCCGUGGUAGAGCUCUUGCCUAGCAUGUGCAAGACCCUGGGUUUGAGCCCCAGCACUUCCA
rfam:Ictidomys tridecemlineatus contig078255, whole genome shotgun sequence.